rnacentral:misc_RNA from 1 species
GUGAUUCAUCGAAUUUUUGAACGCAAAUUGCACUCCCUGGUAUUCCGGGGAGUAUGCCUGUUUGAGGGUCGUUAGAAUAAAAAAUCGAGGCGUCGCCCUUUUUUUUAAGGGUGAUCGCGUGGGAAUUGAGCCGUCUUUCAAAUGUUAAUUCAUGUAAAGGUGGGUUGAAAUUCAUCUAUCCGGUACGAUUAAGGCGGUGUGAAGAACAAACUUGAUUAAGAACGCGCGUUAAGGG